rnacentral:tRNA from 1 species
UCCCUGGUGGUCCAGUGGCUAAGACUCUGUGCUCCCAGUGCAGGGAAUCCGGGUUCGAUCCCCGGUCAGGGAA